UAAAUGCAAUUUGAGCGACAUAACACCUCCAAACUGACCUGUAUUGUUGACCUGUUACGAUGUUUAAAGCUUAAAACAAUUUUCUUGAGGUAAUUAUUGAUAAAGUUUUCAUAAAAUCAAAGAAAACAGUGUAUAACAGUGUUGGCACAGUCGUGAUACAUGGUAUACAACUUCAUAUUCAUGAUAUUCAUGCAUUGCACAGUGCAUGGCACUCUGCAAAAGACAUCAGUUUAUCGCCCAAAAGUCACGGAGAGUUACAAAAAUAAGACAGAAUAAUUACUUAUGGAA